UACGUAGGUGGCAAGCGUUGUCCGGAUUUAUUGGGCGUAAAGCGCGCGCAGGCGGUGAGGUAAGUCCGUCGUGAAAUCUCCCGGCUCAACUGGGAGGGUGCGGGGGAGACUGCCUGACUGGAGGCACUCAGAGGCCGGUGGAAUUCCCGGUGGAAUGGUGAAAUGCGUAGAGAUCGGGAGGAACACCAGUGGCGAAGGCGGCCGGCUGGGGGUGACCUGACGCUGAGGCGCGAAAGCGUGGGGAGCGAACCGG
rnacentral:rRNA from 1 species